rnacentral:rRNA from 1 species
CAGUAACGGCGAGUGAAGCGGCAACAGCUCAAAUUUGAAAUCUGGCUCCUUCGGGGUCCGAAUUGUAAUUUGUAGAGAGUGCUUCGGGCGAGACCUCGGUCUAAGUCCAUUGGAACAUGGUGUCAUAGAGGGUGAGAAUCCCGUAUGCGACCGUGGCUCGAGCCCAUGUGAAGCCUCUUCGACGAGUCGAGUUGUUUGGGAAUGCAGCUCAAAAUGGGUGGUAAAUUUCAUCUAAAGCUAAAUACUGGCUGGAGACCGAUAGCGCACAAGUAGAGUGAUCGAAAGAUGAAAAGCACUUUGGAAAGAGAGUCAAACAGUACGUGAAAUUGUUGAAAGGGAAGCGCUUGCAACCAGACCUGCCCGUAGGCGAUCAGCCGCUGUUCUCAGCGGUGUACUCGCUCUGCGAUCAGGCCAGCAUCGGUUUCGGCGGUCGGAUAAAGACCUUGGGAAUGUAGCUUCCCUUCGGGGAAGUCUUAUAGCCCUCGGUGUAAUGCGGCCAGCCGAGACCGAGGACCGCGCUUCGGCUAGGAUGCUGGCGUAAUGGUUGUAAGCGACCCGUCUUGAAACACGGACCAAGGAGUCUAACAUCUAUGCGAGUGUUUGGGUGUCAAACCCAUACGCGGAAUGAAAGUGAACGGAGGUGAGAACCCUCAAGGGCGCAUCAUCGACCGAUCCAGAUGUCUUCGGAUGGAUUUGAGUAUGAGCAUAGCUGUUGGGACCCGAAAGAUGGUGAACUAUGCCUGAAUAGGGUGAAGCCAGAGGAAACUCUGGUGGAGGCUCGCAGCGGUUCUGACGUGCAAAUCGAUCGUCAAAUUUGGGUAUAGGGGCGAAAGACUAAUC